rnacentral:ncRNA from 1 species
UGUCCUCAGUCCCGGGUCGUCUCGGCGCGGUUCCGAGCGGUCGCUCCCUCGCGAGGUGCCGCUGGUCAGCGGCUGACGCCAGCCACCUUCCCGACCCGUCUUGAAACACGGACCAAGGAGUCUAACAUGUGCGCGAGCCGCGGGGCAGUACGAAACCCGUAAGGCGAAAUGAAGGUGAACGCCGGCGCGGUCCGGCGGAGGUUGGAUCCCGUCCCGUCGGGGCGGGCGCACUACCGGCCGAUCUUCUCCGCCCUGUCGGCGAGGUCGAGCGAGAGCGUGCAAGUCGGGACCCGAAAGAUGGUGAACUAUGCCUGAGGAGGUUGAAGCCAGAGGAAACUCUGGUGGAGGACCGUAGCGAUUCUGACGUGCAAAUCGAUCGUCAAAUUUGGGUAUAGGGGCGAAAGACUAAUCGAACCGUCUAGUAGCUGGUUCCCUUCGAAGUUUCCCUCAGGAUAGCUGGCGCUCUGUCGCAGUUUUAUCUGGUAAAGCGAAUGAUUAGAGGUCUUGGGGGCGAAACGCCCUCAACCUAUUCUCAAACUUUAAAUUGGUAAGAAGCCCGACUCGCUCGUUUGGAGCCGGGCAUGGAAUGCGAGUGCCAAGUGGGCCACUCUUGGUAAGCAGGACUGGCGAUGCGGGAUGAACCGAACGCCGGGUUAAGGCGCCCGACGCGACGCUCAUCGAGCCCACAAAUAGGUGUUGGUUGAUAUAGACAGCAGGACGGUGGCCAUGGAAGUCG